rnacentral:rRNA from 1 species
CGGGGCAGGGUGAGUCGACCCCUAAGGCGAGGCCGAAAGGCGUAGUCGAUGGGAAACGGGUUAAUAUUCCCGUACUUGGUGUUACUGCGAAGGGGGGACGGAGAAGGCUAUGUUGGCCGGGCGACGGUUGUCCCGGUUUAAGCGUGUAGGUGUGUGUUCCAGGUAAAUCCGGUUCACUUUAACACUGAGGCGUGAUGACGAGGCACUACGGUGCUGAAGCAACAAAUGCCCUGCUUCCAGGAAAAGCCUCUAAGCAUCAGGUAACAUCAAAUCGUACCCCAAACCGACACAGGUGGUCAGGUAGAGAAUACCAAGGCGCUUGAGAGAACUCGGGUGAAGGAACUAGGCAAAAUGGUGCCGUAACUUCGGGAGAAGGCACGCUGACACGUAGGUGAAGUGAUUUACUCAUGGAGCUGAAGUCAGUCGAAGAUACCAGCUGGCUGCAACUGUUUAUUAAAAACACAGCACUGUGCAAACACGAAAGUGGACGUAUACGGUGUGACGCCUGCCCGGUGCCGGAAGGUUAAUUGAUGGGGUCAGCGCAAGCGAAGCUCCUGAUCGAAGCCCCGGUAAACGGCGGCCGUAACUAUAACGGUCCUAAGGUAGCGAAAUUCCUUGUCGGGUAAGUUCCGACCUGCACGAAUGGCGUAAUGAUGGCCAGGCUGUCUCCACCCGAGACUCAGUGAAAUUGAACUCGCUGUGAAGAUGCAGUGUACCCGCGGCAAGACGGAAAGACCCCGUGAACCUUUACUAUAGCUUGACACUGAACAUUGAGCCUUGAUGUGUAGGAUAGGUGGGAGGCUUUGAAGUGUGGACGCCAGUCUGCAUGGAGCCGGCCUUGAAAUACCACCCUUUAAUGUUUGAUGUUCUAACGUGGACCCGUGAUCCGGGUUGCGGACAGUGUCUGGUGGGUAGUUUGACUGGGGCGGUCUCCUCCUAAAGAGUAACGGAGGAGCACGAAGGUUGGCUAAUCCUGGUCGGACAUCAGGAGGUUAGUGCAAUGGCAUAAGCCAGCUUGACUGCGAGCGUGACGGCGCGAGCAGGUGCGAAAGCAGGUCAUAGUGAUCCGGUGGUUCUGAAUGGAAGGGCCAUCGCUCAACGGAUAAAAGGUACUCCGGGGAUAACAGGCUGAUACCGCCCAAGAGUUCAUAUCGACGGCGGUGUUUGGCACCUCGAUGUCGGCUCAUCACAUCCUGGGGCUGAAGUAGGUCCCAAGGGUAUGGCUGUUCGCCAUUUAAAGUGGUACGCGAGCUGGGUUUAGAACGUCGUGAGACAGUUCGGUCCCUAUCUGCCGUGGGCGCUGGAGAACUGAGGGGGGCUGCUCCUAGUACGAGAGGACCGGAGUGGACGCAUCACUGGUGUUCGGGUUGUCAUGCCAAUGGCACUGCCCGGUAGCUAAAUGCGGAAGAGAUAAGUGCUGAAAGCAUCUAAGCACGAAACUUGCCCCGAGAUGAGUUCUCCCUGAGACUUUAGGUCUCCUGAAGGAACGUUGAAGACGACGACGUUGAUAGGCCGGGUGUGUAAGCGCAGCGAUGCGUUGAGCUAACCGGUACUAAUGAACCGUGAGGCUUAACCUUACA